UGGGGAAUAUUGCACAAUGGGCGAAAGCCUGAUGCAGCAACGCCGCGUGAGUGAUGAAGGCCUUCGGGUUGUAAAGCUCUGUCUUUUGGGACGAUAAUGACGGUACCAAAGGAGGAAGCCACGGCUAACUACGUGCCAGCAGCCGCGGUAAUACGUAAGUGGCAAGCGUUGUCCGGAUUUACUGGGCGUAAAGGAUGCGUAGGCGGAUUUUUAAGUGAGAUGUGAAAACCCUAAGCUUAACUUGGGGACUGCAUUUCAUACUGGAAAUCUAGAGUGCGGGAGAGGAGAAUGGAAUUCCUAGUGUAGCGGUGAAAUGCGUAGAGAUUAGGAAGAACACCAGUGGCGAAGGCGAUUCUCUGGGCCGUAACUGACGCUGAGGCAUGAAAGCGUGGGUAGCAAACAGGAUUAGAUACCCUGGUAGUCCACGCCGUAAACGAUGAGUACUAGGUGUAGGAGGUAUCGACCCCUUCUGUGCCGCAGUUAACACAAUAAGUACUCCGCCUGGGAAGUACGAUCGCAAGAUUAAAACUCAAAUGAAUUGACGGGGGUCAUAGCUGUUUUCCU
rnacentral:rRNA from 1 species